rnacentral:rRNA from 1 species
GGAUCCAGACUUUGAUUCUGGCUCAGGACGAACGCUGGCGGCGCGCCUAACACAUGCAAGUCGGACGGAGCUUAGAGAGCUUGCUUUUUAAGCUUAGUGGCGAACGGGUGAGUAACGCGUGAGUAACCUGCCCUAGAGUGGGGGACAACAGUUGGAAACGACUGCUAAUACCGCAUAAGCCCACGGUACCGCAUGGCACUGAGGGAAAAGGAUUUAUUCGCUUUAGGAUGGACUCGCGUCCAAUUAGCUAGUUGGUGAGGUAACGGCCCACCAAGGCGACGAUUGGUAGCCGGACUGAGAGGUUGGACGGCCACAUUGGGACUGAGACACGGCCCAGACUCCUACGGGAGGCAGCAGUGGGGGAUAUUGCACAAUGGGGGAAACCCUGAUGCAGCGACGCCGCGUGGAGGAAGAAGGUUUUCGGAUUGUAAACUCCUGUCGUUAGGGACGAUAAUGACGGUACCUAACAAGAAAGCACCGGCUAACUACGUGCCAGCAGCCGCGGUAAAACGUAGGGUGCAAGCGUUGUCCGGAAUUACUGGGUGUAAAGGGAGCGCAGGCGGGAAGACAAGUUGGAAGUGAAAACCAUGGGCUCAACCCAUGAAUUGCUUUCAAAACUGUUUUUCUUGAGUAGUGCAGAGGUAGAUGGAAUUCCCGGUGUAGCGGUGGAAUGCGUAGAUAUCGGGAGGAACACCAGUGGCGAAGGCGGUCUACUGGGCACCAACUGACGCUGAGGCUCGAAAGCAUGGGUAGCAAACAGGAUUAGAUACCCUGGUAGUCCAUGCCGUAAACGAUGAUUACUAGGUGUUGGGGGAUUGACCCCCUCAGUGCCGCAGUUAACACAAUAAGUAAUCCACCUGGGGAGUACGACCGCAAGGUUGCAACUCAAAUGAAUUGACGG